rfam:Apaloderma vittatum contig24088, whole genome shotgun sequence.
GGCCGGUUAGCUCAGUGGUUUGAGUGCGGUGCUGACAACAAUGACAACACCAAGGUCGCGGGUUCGAUUCCUGCUCCGUCCC